rnacentral:lncRNA from 1 species
UCAUUGCUCUGUCAGUGGUUUGAGAUACAGUGUAUGAAAAUGCCAUAUAAAUGCAAAUAUAAAUACAAACACUGAAUUUCCCCUGUUGGCUACUGAUAAGCUUUAACUGAAGAAGAAACAAGCAGCUUUGCCUUUCUCCAUGGUUACCUGUGUGACAGACUGGGAGGAUACCUCGCUAAUUAAAUUAGAAUGAGGGUUAAGCUGUAAACUUUUUGUUGGAAAUCCCAGCUUUUAGAGAGCACAUAGCUUAUUAGCACCUUUUCUCCUCAGAAAAAGCAACCACUGUGCCUGAGUUACGGAGCCUGCACCUCCCCCUGGAGCAGAGCAGUUACAGCUGUGUUUCUGCAGGCACUGGAGCACAGCUGGGGAUGUUGCACAGCCCAGCAGUGUACAGACAGGAUCCUCCUGACUGUGCAUGAAGCUGUUCCUUCCCCAGCGUGGCAGCUUGUGCACCUACUGAUGGCCCUUGAAACUGUUUCCCCAGGGCUUGUUAAUGGGACAUCUACACUUGGUGUCACAACCCAAUUUUUGUUCAUUUGCUCACCUGCUUGUGGGAUCACAAACUGGGAAUGUCAGAGUUUUUCCUCCAGAGUUGUCACUCGCAGUCCUUCUCUAGGGGACACCUUUCCAAUUCAGUGCUUAGGUCAAUUAAUGCUCAUAUUACCACUAAUUGAGUUGCUCCAAGAGCUACAAGGAAAAUCAAAUGGGACAUAGAGACAAUUACUCCAGGAGCUCUGCGUGCCCAAGACAAUUUGGAGCAUCACAGCCUCCUCAUCUUUCUGGGGACGUGUGCCUUGGAUGGAACAGUUUGCUCAGGAGGGCAUUUCAGCUUACACAGAGGAGCUUGCCACUCUUCUACUCAUCUCACCUAGAGAAAUCCCAUCCACUAGCAGCACAGGAAGCCCCAGUCUGUUAUUUGAAGAAUGCUUAUUCACACAAUUGGAAUGGAAGCAACGUCCUAUGGCUGGCUGACCGACCACAGAGAGUGCGUAAUUAGUCAGAGUGGAAGCCUGAAGCUGAUAUACUGACAUAAAAACAUUUACCUGUGCCUUUGUCUGAUGGUAAAAAUUAUGAAUACGGAUGGCAAAACUGGGAUCAGCUCUCUGCAAUUCAGAUGCAUAAAGUGCAUUACAUUUACAGGAAACAGUCUGUAAAAGUAGUAACGCAAAAUGAAUGUGUGUAUUAAUAUAUGUGGUGAUAACUUUUUCUUGUUGGCAAAUGAAAGCACUCUUGAUGGGAAACUUCUCAAAGUGGUGGGAUUUAAAGGGAUUGCUUAAUUUUAUAAAGAGUUUCUGUACAGACAUGCAUGCACACACAUUUUUUGGCAAGUUCUCAUGAGC